UUUGGAUCCAGACUUGGCAGCUUCCAUCCCUCUGACUACUUAGUGCCUGGCAGCCUAGUUGAGAAGAACGUGGGUGCUGUUAUAAUUCCUGCUGAUCAUGGAAGUGCUGUUCCACAGAGUGGAUGGAAACAUAUGGCGCCCCAUUCCUUCUCAAGAGAAAAACAAUAAGACACGACCAUAAAGGACUAUGCUUGAAGCAGGAAUCCUGA